rnacentral:rRNA from 1 species
AGGUGCUGCAUGGCUGUCGUCAGCUCGUGUCGUGAGAUGUUGGGUUAAGUCCCGCAACGAGCGCAACCCUUGUCAUUAGUUGCUACAUUCAGUUGGGCACUCUAAUGAGACUGCCGGUGACAAGCCGGAGGAAGGUGGGGAUGACGUCAAGUCCUCAUGGCCUUUAUGACCAGGGCUACACACGUACUACAAUGGCAGGUACAAAGGGCAGCCACUUAGCGAUAAGGCGCGAAUCCCGUAAAACCUGUCUCAGUCCGGAUUGGAGUCUGCAACUCGACUCCAUGAAGUUGGAAUCGCUAGUAAUCGCAGAUCAGCACGCUGCGGUGAAUACGUUCCCGGGCCUU